rnacentral:rRNA from 1 species
UACGUAGGGGCAAGCGUUAUCCGGAUUUACUGGGUGUAAAGGGAGCGCAGACGGCAGUGCAAGUCUGAUGUGAAAGCCCGGGGCUCAACCCCGGAACUGCAUUGGAAACUGUACAGCUUGAGUGUCGGAGAGGUAAGCGGAAUUCCUAGUGUAGCGGUGGAAUGCGCAGAUAUUUGGAAGAACACCGGUGGCGAAGGCGGCCUUCUGGGCCACGACUGACGCUGAGGCGCGAAAGCUAGGGGAGCGAACAGGAUUAGAUACCCUGGUA